GCCAGCAACAAAAAAAAACACCACAAUACACACACAACCAACAAGGCCUCCACCAUCCUCAAGUCACCAGAUCCCAGCACCUAGCAGUAGCAGCAGCACUUCUCUCUCUCACUCACACAGCCAGCAGAGAACCCUACGUCUCAGCACCUUCCUCCCUUCUUUUUUUUUGUUUUUCCCUCUCACCAGCACCCACACGGGCCUCUGUUCUUCACCAAAACCGCACGAAGCCUUAGCUGUUCUUCACCAGCACGGCACGAAGCCGCAGACCGGCACCCGCACAGAGCCGAGCCAACCUGGCGCACCUCCUCCUCGCUCAGGCCCGCAGCCCGCCGCGGCCUCCUUCUCCUCGCGCGGGCACGGCGCACCUCCUCCUCGCUCGGACCCGCAGACCACCGCGGCCUCCGUGCGGGCACGCGAGCCAGGCCGCCGCCGCACCCUCUGCGUGCGCGGGUACGCGAACCACGCGGCCACUGCCCAGGCCGCAGCCGCACCCUCGCGCGACCGCUUGCCUGUGCUUCGUGCCGCCGCACGCCGGCGCUCAGCUCAGCUCCACGCGCCGCCGUCGCCGGUAACCCUAACCCUUACUCUUGGCUCUGAAUACCAUGAUGGAAUUGGGGAAGACUCACUCUUGGGUGUGCCAACAGCACACCUCUUCUCUAUUCAUUCCUUCUCACUUUUACAUAGUAGUCCUCACCAACAGAAGGAAAUCAAGAAAGUUAUGAUCCGAUAAUUUCGUAAACAUUGUUUCAUCAAUGAAUUCUUUAGUCGAAUAAAAAAUCUGUGAUAGGUCAGCUAUGGAAUUUUCGUUUCUCAUGUAUGUGGCCUUGUGAAUUGCAAAGAUUGAUAAAUGCAAGUUACACUAAUGCAGCAGUGGUGACUGGUGACAAUAGCAGACCACCAGCGGAAGACACAUCGGAGAACUCCUGCCUAGCCCAAGAGAUCCAUGAUGUCAAUGACUCACUGCCUCGUGUAUUAUUUACGUACUUAGAUACCUUAAUUUUUUUAUACAACUUAGUAUUAUUUGGAUAUGGUCUCCUCAGAUCCCAAGUUUCCAACAAUGGUUAGUAUUGCUAAUUUGCUGUACUUUUAACAGAUCUUCAUGGGGGUUAAGCACUUGCUCUUGCCUGCUCCAACAGCUUAAGUAGCCUUUUGCCUGCUCGAGCAGUUUAAGGAAUGAGAACGGACUAGUGCAUGAAAAUAACAUACAUACAAAGCCUGCCUAUCAGUUACAGUCUGUAAGCUUCUUAUGGCUAUCAAUCUCGGCGGACGGUGGGAGGCACAGACGGCGGCUGCAGCCAGCGGCGGUCGCGCGGCGCGGAGGUCCGUUGAGGCAGGGGCCUAGACCGGUGCACAAAUCGGUGGAGAGGAGGCAGCAAUUGUUCAAUGCUAGAUGGAAUUUUCAGUGCCCCGCCGCCCGCUAGUGUUGCCCGCACGAUCACCCUCCGCAGUCCACUCCCCGAGUCCCCAGCCGGUCACCGCCACUCCGUCCAGCACGAAGGCACAUCACGCCUGCCUUCUCCUUGUUUAUAUGUGCUCCAUAGUUGGUUUCAGUGCUUACAGCUUGGUGAAUUAGGAGGUGUUUUUCUUGCCGCUCCUUUCAUGUGCAGAGCUGCGUUGGUGAGCAAGGUACUGAUUUAUGAUGGUUUUAGGACUUGGUAGCAUGAUGGAAUGUGUUGGCAAGUAGCCGGUUAGUGGUGAACAGAGCAGAUCAUGUCGCAUAACUGGCUGCUGCACCAGGAUCAACGCUAGCUCGUAGCUCCUCCAAGGGAGCACAUCCGACAUGUCUGACAUGUGCUUGACAAAAUGCAAGAGGGGAUUAUUGUUGAGCACACUUGAUAUAAGUUGACUGAAGCAUUUGUAGCAUCGUUUGGUAUGAUAUUUCUUUCUCUUAGCAAUCAUCUUCAAAAAAAAACGGUCACUGUAUGAAUUGUUUGUUUAGACAUCUUGUUUCAUCUUGAAAAAAAAUGUUCUUAUUUUGUGGGCUUUCUGUGGCAGAGAUUUAAUUCCUCCUGAGUAUAAUCUUUGUUAGCUGAGGUUUGCUUUUCACAUAAAGUUGUGAUGCUUAUGUGACAGAGGAAGAGAGAGAAAGUGCUUGUGGUGGAAUGCAGGGGCCAUGAUGCAGCUUGAUUGCAUGAGUAAGUAUUGCUCAUUAGAGUUCAUAGCUCAGUUUAGUGUUUAGUGCUUGAAUUUGCCUUUUCUCGCAUAAUGUCGGAUACUUUUGUCACUGGUAUGGGAGGAUCUGCAUAAAUUCCUGUCAGAAUACAUGAAUUGGGAGGAACUGCAUAAAUUCCCACCUUCUAUUAACCUGCAUUGGAGAAGGAGACCUCACUGGACUAGGAGAAGUAAAUGAAGGCGAACAACAACAUUCCCGGAGAAGUUGAGCGCCUUGACAAUUUGCAGUUCAAAUAUUUUCUUGGGGAACUAUAUGGUGAUAAUUCACUAAGAACCAUGCCCCCCCCCCCCCUCUUUGGUCUGCCUAACCCCGUCUCUGAUACUAAUGUGCCAUCAAGUGGGCCUCCCUUGUGUGAUGCAUUGUGGACUACUCCCUCACAACUGGUAACCGCGCUGCGGCCGCCUCCCCCUUCCUCUUGUUGCUCCCCUCUCGCUAUCUCUGAAUUGUCUUUUUCUUUAUACAUUCCUGAAUAAUGUGUUUCAGAGUUAUUUUUGUCAUACUUUAUUAAUAUUUAUAAAAAACGGUUAACUAACAUCAACCUCAAAAUGUUAUAUUUUUUCAUGCUCCUCUUAUUGCCUCAGCAGGUGUACUUCUUGAAAAUUACUUAAGGCAACGUUGGAUUAAGAAUAGAGCAAUAGCAUUUCCUUAAAAAACGCAAGAAGUAGCGUCCCACACUCACCGUGCAUACCCCAUGCCACGCCUGGUUUGCUGUUACCAAAAAGUCAAAAACAUGAGAAGCAACGUCCGUCCUCUGCUCACCAGCCCUGUGCUACACCUUGCUCUGGACAGCCCGCCCAGUCUCUCGGACACCAGAUUGGAGCAGCUCAGUCAUCCGCAGUGUCACAUUCUCCCUGAUCAGAUCCUCAACACGCCCGUCUGGUACUCUGCCAAUGGCAGUACUUCACCAAUAUCACUACCCUCUUCAUCAUCGAGCUCAUCCAAUCAAAUUGCUCUAAACGUACGGGCACUCAACUAUGAGUCCAAAACGCUCGUUUUUGGUGGUGGAACUUGAGUGGAACCGGAUGCUGCACGGCGCGGCCAGCACGCGACAGCGCAAUCCGACCUGAAAUGCCAGGGUCUGAGCGACGGGGCGAGUGGCGCGGCGUGCGCGACUUGGCGACGACCUGGCCAAACUUCUGCCCCAGCACAGAUGCCUGUGGAGACCAGCUGACGCGCCCGCCGGGGAGCUGGGCUCGUCUUCGUUCUCUGCGUGUCGGCCAACAACCAACUGGCACGAUCUGUUUCUUGUACUACAGCUCUACUAGUUCACUCUGGGCAUCAAAUACUUAAAACCGAGAACCAGACCGAAUUUACCAAGAACCGAAUGAAAUUACCGAAAUCAAAAAAUUCGGUUCUCUGUUCGGUACCUAGUUCUCAGAAACCAAAUUUACCGACGUAUAUUCGGUUCUGUACCUCAGUAAACCGAAGUACCGAACUAGUACCGAAUAUGUCUACUAGCAAUAUGUAAUAUUGUUGAUUGAUCUAUCAUAGACAAUUAUGUUACAUAUUUGUAUUAAUAUACUCCUAUUAUAUUAUGGCUUUUUAUAUGUA